rnacentral:tRNA from 1 species
AGAAGUGUGCCUGAAAUUUAAGACUCCCCUUGAUAGGGGGAACUAUAGGGGUUUAAACCCCCUCACUUCUU